GUGCUCGCUUCUGCAGCACAUAUACUAAAAUUGGAACGAUACAGAGAUUAGCAUGGCCCUUGCACAAGGAUGACAUGCAAAUUCGUGAAGCAUUCCAUACUUAG